UAGGGAAUUUUUCACAAUGAGCGAAAGCUUGAUGGAGCAAUGCCGCGUGAACGAUGAAGUUCUUUAAGAUUGUAAAGUUCUUUUAUUUGGGAAGAAUGACUUUAGCAGGUAAUGGCUAGAGUUUGACUGUACCAUUUUGAAUAAGUGACGACUAACUAUGUGCCAGCAGUCGCGGUAAUACAUAGGUCGCAAGCGUUAUCCGGAUUUAUUGGGCGUAAAGCAAGCGCAGGCGGAUUGAAAAGUCUGGUGUUAAAGGCAGCUGCUUAACAGUUGUAUGCAUUGGAAACUAUUAAUCUAGAGUGUGGUGGGGAGUUUUGGAAUUUCAUGUGGAGCGGUGAAAUGCGUAGAUAUAUGAAGGAACACCAGUGGCGAAGGCGAAAACUUAGGCCAUUACUGACGCUUAGGCUUGAAAGUGUGGGGAGCAAAUAGGAUUAGAUACCCCAGUAGUCCGCACCGUAAACGACAGAUACUAGCUGUCGGGGCGAUCCCCUCGGUAGUGAAGUUAACACAUUAAGUAUCUCGCCUGGGUAGUACAUUCGCAAGAAUG
rnacentral:rRNA from 1 species